rnacentral:rRNA from 1 species
UACAGAGGUCCCAAGCGUUGUUCGGAUUCAUUGGGCGUAAAGGGUGUGUAGGUGGCGCCGUAAGUCGGGUGUGAAAUCUCGGGGCUUAACUCCGAAACUGCAUUCGAUACUGCGGUGCUUGAGGACUGGAGAGGAGACUGGAAUUCAUGGUGUAGCAGUGAAAUGCGUAGAGAUCAUGAGGAAGACUAGUGGCGAAGGCGGGUCUCUGGACAGUUCCUGACACUGAGACACGAAGGCCAGGGGAGCAAACGGG